AACGACUCCAGAGGGUGGUGUGACCUCCCUCUGUGACGUCAUGCCGUGUCACUGGCAUCGGAGGCUUAAAGGAACCUUGAAAGACCGCCAUCGGUCUAUUCCAAACCAGGCAAGUGUGCGAUCAACAAGUUGAAAGUAGAGCUUAAAAUUAGUAGUGAGUGCGAAGGUGGAGAAUUGUGCGCGAAGCACCCUACGUCGUUCAGGACCUUUUGUGUUGCCGUUUAACGGCCAUUUUGUCGGUCAGCAGGAAGCUGGUCCGUCACCCCGAUCGCACACUCUCGGCCUAGCAGCAGUAAGAGCGGAGGAGCCAGCUGCUACGCCUAACCCGUCAAGGAUCAACGUUUUCGCUCUGGCCAGGGUGGCCAUCAACACCAAGGAGCACGCUCGGACCGGAAGGUCCUAAUUCCCAAGGAGCGUUUUCCCCUCUCGGGUUGGCCGGAUUGGGCAGGUCCCAGGUCGCCCGAUUGCGUCAAAGAGGGAAGGCCUGAGAUUCCAGCCGUG